AAAAUAGACUCAAAAUAGCUAAAGAGUAGCUUCGAUUGGCAGAAAGUGGUGAAAUGCCGAAUUUGGUUUUCUCCGAUGAGAAAACAUUCGUUGUCCAGCAAUUUGUUAACAAACCAACUGAAAAUGUGCAACUUGGGUUGGCCACUAGAACUCAGGCGCCGGCCAUGGUGAUGGUGUUGGCCGCCAUAACAGCCGAUGGUCGUUCUCCGCUCGUAUUAAUCGACCCUGGCAUCAGAAUAAAUGCCCAAUAUUAUCGUGAAAAUAUUCUGGAGGGUGUAUUAAAGCCUUGGGCAUGCAACAUUUGGACAUUUCAACAGGACUCAGCACGCGCCACCCAAGAAUGGUUACAAAAUGAGGUUCCUCGAUCCAUUUCCAGUGCACAAUGGUCACUAAAAUCUCCGCAUACCAAUCCCCUGGACUAUUUUGUCUGGAGUAUUUUGGAAAGCAAGGUUGACACUAAAAAAUACCAAAGUGUCGAUCACCUCAAGCAAGCGCUUCGCCGGGAAUGGGCCAAAAUACCGCAGAACAACAUUCGAGCAGCGUGUGACGGUUUCAUUGGCCGUUUGAAGGCCAUAAUUCG